CCUACGGGUGGCUGCAGUAGGGAAUAUUGGACAAUGGGGGAAACCCUGAUCCAGCGACGCCGCGUGAGUGAAGAAGUAUUUCGGUACGUAAAGCUCUAUCAGCAGGGAAGAAAAGGACGGUACCUGACUAAGAAGCCCCGGCUAACUACGUGCCAGCAGCGGCGGUAAUACGUAGGGAGCAAGCGUUAUCCGGAUUUACUGGGGGUAAAGGGAGCGUAGACGGCAGCGCAAGUCUGGAGUGAAAGGCGGGGGCCCAACCCCGGAACUGCUCUGGAAACUGUGAAGCUGGAGUGCAGUAGAGGUAAGCGGAAUUCCUGGUGUAUCGGUGAAAUGCGUAGAUAUCAGGAGGAACACCGGUGGCGAAGGCGGCUUACUGGACUGUAACUGACGUUGAGGCUCGAAGGCGUGGGGAGCAAACAGGAUUAGAUACCCGAGUAGUC
rnacentral:rRNA from 1 species